rnacentral:rRNA from 1 species
AGUGAACGCUGGCGGUAGGCCUAACACAUGCAAGUCGAACGGCAGCACAGUAAGAGCUUGCUCUUACGGGUGGCGAGUGGCGGACGGGUGAGGAAUACAUCGGAAUCUACUUUUUCGUGGGGGAUACCGUAGGGAAACUUACGCUAAUAUCGCAUACGACCUACGGGUGAAAGCAGGGGAUCUUCGGACCUUGCGCGAUUGAAUGAGCCGAUGUCGGAUUAGCUAGUUGGCGGGGUAAAGGCCCACCAAGGCGACGAUCCGUAGCUGGUCUGAGAGGAUGAACAGCCACACUGGAACUGAGACACGGUCCAGACUCCUACGGGAGGCAGCAGUGGGGAAUAUUAGACAAAGGGCGCAAGCCUGAUCCAGCCAUACCGCGUGGGUGAAGAAGGCCUUCGGGUUGUAAAGCCCUUUUGUUGGGAAAGAAAAGCAGCAGGUUAAUACCCCGCUGUUCUGACGGUACCCAAAGAAUAAGCACCGGCUAACUUCGUG